UACGUAGGUGGCGAGCGUUGUCCGGAUUUACUGGGCGUAAAGGGAGCGUAGGCGGACUUUUAAGUGGGAUGUGAAAUACUCGGGCUCAACUUGAGUGCUGCAUUUCAAACUGGAAGUCUAGAGUGCAGGAGAGGAGAAUGGAAUUCCUAGUGUAGCGGUGAAAUGCGUAGAGAUUAGGAAGAACACCAGUGGCGAAGGCGAUUCUCUGGACUGUAACUGACGCUGAGGCUCGAAAGCGUGGGGAGCAAACAGG
rnacentral:rRNA from 1 species